AGAGAUCAGCAAGGAUUGGGGCUCCAGGAUUCCUGGCGGCUGUGACCAGCGGAGGAUCAAGCAUCUGCCAUUGGCCGUGGUAGUUUAUUUGGGUAUGUGAGCUGGAAGGAAACCAUGGUGACUGAUCUGAGCUUACUGGCACCUGGACGGACCUUGAGUGCCUCACAAAAAUAAGAAAGAAGCUAUAGUGUCGAAUCCUGGCCAUCCUGGAGCUCGCACUACGAUUGGACCUCUUCCCUUUCUACUCCAAAAGAAAAAGCAUAUGAUCAACUCCACUGAUGCAGAAAAAGCAUUUGACAAACUUCAACAACCAUUCCUAAUAAAAACUCACAUCAAACUAGGAACAGAAUGGAACUUCCCCAGCUUAAUAUGGAGCAUCUGUGAAAAACCUAGAGCCCACAUCAUACUUCCUAGUGAAAGAUUGAAUUCUUUCUCUCUAAGAGUGGAAACAGGAAGGGUAUCUGUUCUCAUCACUCUUCAUUAACAUAAUAUGGAAUUUAUAACCACAACACUAAGUGAUGCUGACUUUUCUGUUCAAAGAGGAAACCACUGACCAAGGAGGGACUGAGGCGGUUUCCAGUAAGGCAGAUGGAAGGAGAUAUCUCUUCCCAUGUCCAGGCAGUGACGCACAGAUCGAGGCUCAAAGCAAAACCAUCCUGAAGGUAAAUCACAUCCUGCUCUCGGCCUCUCUUUCCCCAUUUGGAAAUUCUUUCUUCAUACCUCCUCUACACUCUCCAGACCUUAACUUGAGCCUUUUUUGGAGGAGAUGAGGAAACAAUUGUGCUUGGUGUCUCUUGUGAACAGACAAGCUAUCACUGAGGUGCCUAUCCGCCUUUUUUCUAGGCUAACCAACCCCCUUCCCCUCAGCCUUGCAACCUAUGAUCUUUGCCACUCUUCUGUUCACAGCUGCCUCUCCCGGCUCAGUUCCCACAGUGGAGUUGGAUGUAGACGAAUGGAGAUAAAUCCUCCCCUUCUGCCCCCCAAAGUUUCAUUUAGUAUCUUCCCUUCCUUCCAUUCUCUCUGUCCCUUCCGAAGUUCAGACCUCAUCAACUCUUGCUUGCGUUGUGUGACUAAGACCUCUGUGGUCUCUCAUCUUCCUGCCCCUACGUAUAACCACCCACUGACUCCCUCCUUGACCAAAUCAUUCUUCUGAGGCCUCGUUGUGAUCCUGCCACUCCCUGGCUCGAAAGCCUUUCCCCUUGUACGUGCAAGAAAGUGCAGACUCUAUGGUCAUGCAUUUACUCCAUCCUCCAUGAGCUGGCCCCACUGCUCUCCCAGCCAACCCCCUUUGUGCUUCCUGUGGUCCAGUCCAGCAUGCUGGGCGCCUAACAUGAUGCCAAGAACCUGCAUACGUUUUCUGGCUUGCACACGCUCUCUGCCCGAACGUUCUUGCCCUGUCUCAGCUCAUCCAAGUCCUGGAUGUUCUACUUUUUCUCCAAAGCCUAGCUUGGUGUGCCUUCCUUUGCAGUUCUCCCCAGACAGAAUGAAUUAUUCCGUGCUACCCAGCCACAUAGUUUAUGUUUUUGUUUAUAUAACUUUUAAAGGUCUGGCUUAUAAUCCUUGGAUAUGGACCUGUCCUUCCCGCUAGAAGGCCCGUGCUUUGCAGACAAAGCUGGGCCCUACUGCUCCCAGUAAGUUCCAGGUCCCUAAUUCAAUGCAGGGCACUGCAGUAUGUGAUCUGCGCAUCUUGGUUGGAUCAAGUUUGCAAGAAUACGUGCCCCUGGGCAAGCUGUGUGCCCACAACAGUUUCCUCUGGUCAUGUGACUGCUGUUUCAGAAGAUGCGUGAGGUCAAAUGACUCAGCAAAAAUUUUGCAGACCAAAUGACAGGAAGUGAGGGCUUCAGAAGCAGACUCUAUUAACACUGAUCUAAAACACAUGUGUCUGGAGCCCCAGCGCCGGUGCGGGAAGAUUUUCCACAGCGUCUGCCAAGGGUCUGCAGCCUGAUACUGUGCCCCGGGAGAGGCCGACAAACCACAGGCUACCCCCAGCCCCUCUGGCAGCCGGCGCCCCUUCGAGGACACUUAGGAAGUCUGCAGAGCCUCGAGCAUGACAGAGUGCGCCUCCCCUAUCCAAGAAAUCCAUCUGCCUGGAUGUUCCAGAUAAUGGAAACUUGCCCCUCUAGGGCACCCAAACUUUUCAAAGUAAAAUCCAUUUUGAUAAACAACUUCCAAAAGGAAGAACACAACUCAACACUUUCCCAUCCUCUCUAGCCGUCAUGAGUGUUAUUUGACCACUUCUUGAUCGCUCUGGGCUGACAUCAGGUUUAUCACUUGCUGUUUUUCCCACAGGCUUGCUCUCCUCACUACUAUACCUUCAAAUCCUAGUUGUUACAACAAUACUAGCCAGCACUCAUUAGCCCUUCCUACCCGCGGCACACCAAGGGGCCCUCUACAUAAUUAUUUCGUUUUGGCUUCACCACGUCCCUAAGAGGUAGAUGUGUUCUUUCCCAGUUUUGAGGUGUGAAAACUGAGGAGCAGGGAGGGUAAGUCACUUGCCCACGGUUCCAUGGCAAGUCCAAUCAGGGAGAGCGCUCCCGACCCCGGCGAUGAGCUGCAGGGCCAGCACGGGCAAAUCCUUUCCUCCGCCGCUUCCCUCGGCACGGAAAUUAGGGGCCCGACUCAUCCAGGGACUUCCCUGGGUUUAGCACUGACAACUCUCAGUCCAGGAAAAAGCAUGAUGGUUGGUCACCCUAGCUUGAGAGCAAGAAAGCACUCACCAGAACACUUGGCUUUUGUAAACCAGACGUGCGAUUUCCGAUCAUCCGCCCCUGGCCAUUGAGGAUAGGAAAGGUGCCCAGUAACCCAGUCAGAACAGGAGGGCCAGGCAAAGAAACAGCCCCCCAAGACAGUUAAUAAUGUUGCCCUCCUCCAAAGCGUAUUUGUCCAACACAAGCAGAGGUGAGAAGUUUCUAUGAAUGAAAAUCAUAUACUUCUUUCUUUAUAUUCAAAACAGGAAAUGGCUACAUACACUUACUGUGGGCAGUUUCUAGGCCAGACUGUUUUGUGCGGCAUAUGAAAGAGCAUAUCAUUUAGGUAAUGAAAAAUAACCCCCUCGUUGCGGAGGAACAGCAUCUUAGAAGCCGUGCGCUCUGCGGCUUCACAGGUCCGCUGGCUGUGACUCACCUCCGCGCGGACGCAGGGGGCGGGGAGACGGAGGUCCGCCUGCAGAUGCGCCCGCUGCUUGCGUGGAGACAUCGCAGAAAGGAGGACUUCACCGAGAAGAGCGACAACGGUGACGCUGGCCUUCGAGAGCCUCUUGCUUCCGUAGGAACAGCUGUAAGUGAAACCCUGAGUCAGCUGCCAUCACAUUUCUAGUCUAUGCCGGCAGGGUUUUAAUGCUUAAACCUUGCCUGGGGCCUCCUCCUUCACCUGCCGGCUCUCUGGCCCAGGGAAAGUGGAUGGGCUUUGUGAUGGCUUUUUCUUCAAAGGCCUUUUCCAAAAAUCUGUCGUGGCUGGGAAAGCUCGGGUCAGUGGCAGCCUGGCUCCCAGAAGGGGAGAGUAUUUGGAGAGUGUUGCUUCCGCAGGACAUGAAGUGCUCCCCUGAGACUUCAAGAUUAACCUCCGGGCCGAACAAGAGCAGCGGCUUUCUGCCCCGCUUCCUGCGUCUGCACAAGCCCGGGCAUUACCUUGGCAGGAAGGCUUAACGUUUUGAGGAAAGCUGACCAGCCUAUUGGCAAGAUGGAUGCCGCUCUGUCUCCCCCAGGAGCCCUCAGCUUAUCUUGCACUUGAGCUUCCAGCAGGAACUGGACUCAGAGCCAUACCCUUGGGGCUGCCCUUGAGCCUCCCCAGAGGGCUGCGCUAGCUCCAGGCAACCGGUGGGCAUUUCAUCAGGCAGCCACCUUACUCUUCAGUCAGCUAAAUAACUUUUUUAGGAAUUAGAAACCAAAUGGUUUGAGGAUGCCAGAGAAGGUGAUGAAUUUGCUUUUCUUUAACUGUAUAAAAAAAAAAUUGUUCCAUGGAAAAUUCCAAGGGCGUUUUCAAAGGAAUUUGGAGUUCACAUUUCUGUUCAUUUUAUUUUUCAUUUUCUUCUUAAAUUCAGCUAUUUAGGAAAUUGCUUAUUAAAAGCAAAAAAAAAAAUUAAAUAACAGAAAACCAAAAGAUCAAAAUAUUUUCUCCCUUAACACCAAAUCUGAGUUUUCUUUCCUGGGAAGCUCGCAGCAGCUUCAGGGAGAGAAGUGGUCACCUCUCUGGGGAGUGCCAGUACGAUCUGGCUCAAUCCCUAUAAAUACUAUUUAGUUUGUAUUUUUCCCAACUUUCAACUCCCUGGCCCAUUCAUAGGCUUUUGGGUCUUUCAGGGAACUUCUGCAAUUUGCCACUGACACAGUAUUAAAAACUUACACAGGCAAACACCUUCGUACUGUGGUGGGAUUCUAGAUGGACGUGGCCGUGACCCAUGGCAAAGUUAGAGCCUGCAACACGGUCUGUCUCUGUAGGAGCGUGUCUUCCCCAGAGUGUUAAAUGAGCAUGCCAACUUCUUCUGUUCAGUGACCUCCGUGCCUGAAGAGAAAAACCUCCUCAGACCAUCCACUCUAUGGGAAUAUAGGAAGAGCAUGUGGACCAAAGUGAAUAGACUCAGAAAUGUAAAGCCAUUUUCAAAGUAAUAAAAUCUGAUUUCAAAUGAAUGAGAUCAAAACAAACUAUAAUUCAACUUAUUUGUGCAAGGCGUUAAGCCCCAAAGUAAUAACGAUAUCUUGAAAGUUAAAAUAUACAGAAGUGAGGACCCUUUACUAAUGGAUGUACAGAGAAAAAGCUAUAAAACCCUUGUUCUUUGGCUCUUUACCUUCAGUUUAAGGCAAGUGAGAUCUAGUCAUCCUCAUGAUUCAGAGAUUUCCGUAUUUGCAAAUGUACCUACUGGCUAAAAUGUAUCUGUUAUCCCCAAAUCAAUACUCCUGGUCCUUCUGUGGUCGUAAGAGACAGCAAAAAGUUGAAGUACUGAAGGCGUUCCCUUCUAGCGGAGGUCCGAGCAAGGCCGCCGAUCCACUUUCUUCUUUCCACUCUUUCUACAAACAAACAUCCUUUUCGCAGUCUAUUUAGUGUCAUAUUUUUCAUGGGUUUUUUUUAUUAAAGAUUUUAUUUAUUUA